rnacentral:tRNA from 1 species
GGUGGCUCAGUGGUAGAGUGUUUGCCUUGCGUGCACAAGGCCCUGAGUUUGAUUCCUCAGCACCA